UACGGAGGGGACUAGCGUUGUUCGGAAUUACUGGGCGUAAAGCGCACGUAGGCGGAUUUGUUAGUCAGGGGUGAAAUCCCGAGGCUCAACCUCGGAACUGCCUUUGAUACUGCAAAUCUCGAGUCCGGAAGAGGUGAGUGGAAUUCCUAGUGUAGAGGUGAAAUUCGUAGAUAUUCGGAAGAACACCAGUGGCGAAGGCGGCUCACUGGACUGGUAUUGACGCUGAGGUGCGAAAGCGUGGGGAGCAAACAGG
rnacentral:rRNA from 1 species